rnacentral:rRNA from 1 species
AGGGGAUCUUCCGCAAUGGGCGAAAGCCUGACGGAGCAACGCCGCGUGAGUGAGGAAGGUCUUCGGAUCGUAAAGCUCUGUUGCCAAGGAAGAACGGCCCGGAGAGUCACUGCUCCGGGAGUGACGGUACUUGAGAAGAAAGCCCCGGCUAACUACGUGCCAGCAGCCGCGGUAAUACGUAGGGGGCAAGCGUUGUCCGGAAUUAUUGGGCGUAAAGCGCGCGCAGGCGGUCUGUUAAGUCGUGUGUUUAAGCCCGGGGCUCAACCCCGGUUCGCAUGGGAAACUGGCAGUACUUGAGUGCAGGAGAGGAAAGCGGAAUUCCACAUGUAGCGGUGAAAUGCGUAGAGAUGUGGAGGAACACCAGUGGCGAAGGCGGCUUUCUGGACUGUAACUGACGCUGAGGCGCGGAAGCGUGGGGAGCAAAC